rnacentral:lncRNA from 1 species
CCAACACAUUUUCUAGUGAUACACAAGAAACAUAUCCCAGAUUUCUGCUGCAGAAGAUGAUAACGAGAGCCUUCUUGGACAUUUAAUGAUUGUUGGCAAGAAAUGUGCUGCUCAUCUGGGCCUGAGUAAGGGUUACUGAAUGAAUGGGUGGUGAAUGAACAUUCAGAUGGUGGACAGUCUGUCUAUCAUGUUCAUCUUCAUGUUCUUGGAGUCAGCAGAUGAAUCAGCCUCCUGG